rnacentral:misc_RNA from 1 species
UCAAUGUCAGCCUAACAAGUCCAUAUUCACACAGAAUCACACAAAGCUAACCAACAUAAUCAGAUAAAUCAUAAGUGUAACCUGUACAAAUUUGAUGCCCAGCAAUAUUCAUAUCAUAAAAGUUCACUGCCCUAACUUCUAUAAACUUUAUAUGAAAUCAGCAAAUUCUUCAUAAAAUCCAUGAAACUAAUAGGUUAGACCUCGUACUCAGUUAAAUGAUAAAUUAUUCUGUAUUGUGACAAAAUUUUGAGGCCACGGAAAAAAGUCAAAACACAAAACAGCAUUUGAGGCUGGAAAGCGGCCAACGCUACCAUCAUCAUUUUCUAGAGAUCUAUCACGCAACAUAUAUAAG